rnacentral:rRNA from 1 species
UACAGAGGGGGCAAGCGUUGUUCGGAAUUACUGGGCGUAAAGGGCGCGUAGGCGGCCCGCUAAGUCGAACGUGAAAUCCCCGGGCUCAACCCGGGAACUGCGUCCGAUACUGGUGGGCUUGAAUCCGGGAGAGGGAUGCGGAAUUCCAGGUGUAGCGGUGAAAUGCGUAGAUAUCCGGAUGAACACCAGCGGCGAAGGCGGCGCUCUGGGCCGGAACUGACGCUGAGGAGCGAAAGCGUGUGUAGCAAACAGG